rnacentral:tRNA from 1 species
GGCCUGGUAGCUCAGCUGGUAGAGCAGCGGACUGAAAAUCCGCGUGUCGGCGGUUCAACUCCGUCCCAGGCCG